GGGCCGUUAGGCUUGUAUUUAUUAGAUAACAGACCAAUUAAGUGGUGACUCAUAGUAACUGAUCGAAUCGCACGGGCUUGCCCGCGAUAAAUCAUUCAAGUUUCUGCCCCAUCAGCUGUAGAUGGUAGUGUAUUGGACUACCAUGGCUUUCACGGGUAACGGAGGAUUAGGGUUCGAUUCCGGAGAGGGAGCCUGAGAAACGGCUACCACAUCUAAGGAAGGCAGCAGGCGCGUAAAUUACCCAAUACUGAUUCAGUGAGGUAGUGACAAGAAAUAACGGGCCGGGA
rnacentral:rRNA from 1 species